rnacentral:rRNA from 1 species
UACGGAGGGUGCAAGCGUUAAUCGGAAUUACUGGGCGUAAAGAGCUCGUAGGCGGCUUGUCGCGUCGACUGUGAAAACCCGCGGCUCAACUGCGGGCCUGCAGCCGAUACGGGCAGGCUAGAGUUCGGUAGGGGAGACUGGAAUUCCUGGUGUAGCGGUGAAAUGCGCAGAUAUCAGGAGGAACACCGGCGGUGUAGACGGCUUUCUGGACCGUAGCUGACGCUGAGACACGAAAGCGUGGGUAGCAAACAGG